UCUGGUGUCCUAGGCGUAGAGGAACCACACCAAUCCAUCCGAAUUUGGUGGUUAAACUCUACUGCGGUGAUGAUACUGUAGGGGAGGUCCUGCUGCAAAAUAGCUCGAUGCCAAAA
rfam:Triticum aestivum genome assembly, contig: Triticum_aestivum_CS42_TGACv1_scaffold_196089_3AL